GCACUCACCGCAGCGUUCUGGAACUUUCAAGCUCGCCCCCGCUCUCCGGACGGCCCCGGGGAAAGGGAGGGUGGGGCGCAGCGAGUCCGCGCGCGGGAGUCCUCAGUUACCCCGGGCGGGGGAGGGGAGCGUCCACCUCUACGCAUGCGCCCCCAGCUUCCGCGGGAGGGAGGGGGCGGAAAAAGGAGGAGGAAGAGGGGCGGGCAAACUUGGAACUAACCAAUGAUAGCGGCGCUAGCCGGGAUCUUGGCCGGCACAGAACUGGGGGCGGAAUCGCGCGGGGCCUGAAGGGAGGGGUUUGGGCGCGGGAGCCGGGCAGGAGAAGACGGAAGUGGAGCGAGGACAAAAUGGCUGCGAAGUAACAUGAGGUGAUAUCUUUCCUGGUUUGACUUUCAUCAAAAAUUAAACGACAGACCAUACCGACGCUUUGAAAACGUGACUGAGCUGGUGCACAAAACAAUGGUGCCUAGAAUUUUGAAUUGUGCAAUGUUGUGCAUGGCCGCGGAUAUGUGGGGCCUUGUGGUUCCAAGAGCCUGUCUCAGGUCCUGGUCAACAAAUAGAUUUGGACUCCUGCUUUCCCUUACUCUGGUCUAAAGGCACAAUAAGAUGCCUUUUUACAGAUGAAUCAGCUUACAUCCUUUUGCUUGUUUGGUAUUGUAUAAGGAAAAUGCUCAUCUGAAUCUGUUCCGUGCAAUGCUCACUGCUACUUAGAUGACCUCUCAUCUGGUUGUGUGGCUGGUGACUUGAGCUCCAAUGACGAGAAGAGUCCAAAGACCCUGACUCCUAGGAAAGCGUGGGAGUCAAGUCCAUUGUAAUUCAGACCGUUUGGAAGGCUCUGCUCUGGCUGGGGAUCAUGCUGGGUGUGGUUUCUGCUUUGGUCAGAUUAGCAUGGUGGACUUUCUUUGGUUCAGAACCUCUCACCUCUGGCCCCACUAGGCUGUAUGCCUGGGUGGCCAGCCCUGGCUGGGGUGCUGCGUCAGUUGACAGUGUCCGCUGGCUGCGUGAGGCACUAUUUGCUGUGGAGCGAGUGGAGGAAGAACCAGAGCGUGAGCUCCGAGAGCCUGAGGAAGAGGAGCUGGGUUUCACAAGACGGGCUUUUGGAGCUUCAGCAUCUUCUCUGAAGAGAAAAAACAGCAAAGAUUAACACUGGCAGAUCUGUGAUUGCUUCCAGUAUGAUUGCUUCCUUCUGAGGUUUCCGAAGCUGUGAACCUCAGAUAAUACCAUCGGAAGGCAACCAU
rnacentral:lncRNA from 1 species